UACGAGGGGGGCAAGCGUUGUUCGGAAUUACUGGGCGUAAAGGGUUCGUAGGUGGCCACCUAAGUCAGACGUGAAAUCCCUCAGCUUAACUGGGGAACUGCGUCUGAUACUGGGUGGCUUGAGUGCAGGAGAGGAAUGCGGAAUUCCAGGUGUAGCGGUGAAAUGCGUAGAUAUCUGGAGGAACACCGGUGGCGAAGGCGGCAUUCUGGACUGUAACUGACACUGAGGAACGAAAGCCAGGGGAGCAAACGGG
rnacentral:rRNA from 1 species